GACGAACGCUGGCGGCGUGCUUAACACAUGCAAGUCGAACGAAGUGGCGAACGGGUGAGUAACGCGUAAUCAACCUGCCCUUCAGAGGGGGACAACAGUUGGAAACGACUGCUAAUACCGCAUACUGAAGGAGGGGAUUGCGUCUGAUUAGCGAGUUGGAGGGGGAAAGGCCCACCAAGGCGAUGAUCAGUCGCCGGUCUGAGAGGAUGAACGUCCAAAUUGGGACUGAGGAACGGCCCAGACUCCUACGGGAGGCAGCAGUAGGGAAUCUUCGGCAAUGGGGGGAACCCUGACCGAGCAACGCCGCGUGAGUGAAGAAGGUUUGCGGAUCGUAAAGCUCUGUUGUUAAGGAAGCGGUACUUAACCAGAAAGGGACGGCUAACUACGUGCCAGCAGCCGCGGUAAUAC
rnacentral:rRNA from 1 species